rnacentral:rRNA from 1 species
CACCAGCGCUGCAAGCGGGAAUCGCGAUUAUUGGGCCUAAAGCGUCCGUAGCCGGUUGAGUGAAUCUUCUGUGAAAUCGUUCGGCUGAAACGAACGGCGGGCAGGAGACACUGCUCGACUUGGAACCGGGAGGGGUCAGAGGUAUUUUUGGGGGAGCGGUAAAAUGCUAUAAUCCUAAAAAGACUACCUGUGGCGAAGGCGUCUGACUAGAACGGAUUCGACGGUGAGGGACGAAAGCUAGGGGAGCGAAUCGG